UACGUAGGCAGCGAGCGUUGUUCGGAGUUACUGGGCGUAAAGGGUGCGUAGGCGGUUGUUUAAGUUUGGUGUGAAAUCUCCCGGCUCAACUGGGAGGUGCGCCGAAUACUGAAUGACUAGAGUGCGGGAGAGGAGAGUGGAAUUCCUGGUGUAGCGGUGAAAUGCGUAGAUAUCAGGAGGAACACCGGUGGUGUAGACGGCUCUCUGGACCGUAACUGACGCUGAGGCACGAAAGCGUGGGUAGCAAACAGG
rnacentral:rRNA from 1 species